AUCAAACUUCUGCAUAGGCUACAGUGCAUAGCUCUCAAGAAACUAUCUGUGAGAAACAAGGGGAUAGAAGGAAUAUUCAACAUAAAUAAUCAAGAGAUGGGAGACAGAUUCAUGGAGCUUUGAAGACCACUUGGAAGCUAUAACUGAUCCACAAUGUAGCAACAUGUGCACUUCCGGGCUCCCAGGAGUUUGCUCAUGUUACACCACUGUUGGUCUGCCUGAAGCACAUCAGAACUGGCUCCAUGCGUCUUGGCUACAGGUAUGCCUACUGAUUUUCAAGCUGUUUAAGCUCUC